UCGCUUGUGCCAGGUUUAAGUGUAGGCGAUCUGUGAGUCUGAGUUCGUGCUGCCUUCUAGGUUAAGUAACUGGGAGACUCGAGGAUACUCGAGAAUACACCGCAUAGGUGACAGCGGGACCGGCCGGCACGGGGCAGCGGAACUUCGCUGAGUCCCAGCCAGAGCAGCUUCUCUCAGCUCCGAGUCUACAGGUGGCGGCCGCCCUGACUGACUCGGCCAGGGAUGGUGCUGUGGCCCCGGGCGGAGCUUGCAGACUGCACUGCGCUCAUCUGAGGUCAGCGACAGCCCCUGCCCAGGUCUUUUCAGCCUCACCGGGCUGAUAGGGGCUGGGCAGCCUGGUUGGGGGAGGUCCCGGUCUGUCACCCAGUGUAAGGGAGGCUGGAGAAGUUUUCUCUACAGCAAGAUCCACGUGUUGAGAAGCGUGAAGAUGCGAUUCUGGAGAGAUGGGAGACGGAGCGGAUGAGCCCAGGGACUUCGAUUCUGAGGGCGCCGGUGGCAUGAUCACUGGGGGCUUGACUCCUUUUCUCCCCACAAGUGUGGGCCUUCCCUGGAACCCCUCUGCUGACCCAGGGUCAGGGCAGCUGUUCUCAGCCAGGAUGUACACGGUUUAGCUCAGACAUGCUAAGCAGAGGCAGCCGCCCCCAGACUUUACCGUGAUCAUCAGCAGAUUUGGGAGACGACUCCGCGGGAAGGCCUUCUAUAACGUGGGUGAGAAAGUGUACUGCCAGGAGGACUUCCUG